rnacentral:lncRNA from 1 species
AGAACAUCCAUGGAGGCGGAGAAACUAAUAUGGAAAAAAUUAAAGAUCUUCCUCAACAAAUCUGCAAAAAAAAUAUAUAAUAUAUCUUUUUUUAGAAACUUGAGCAAAAACAAAAGUGAGGGAUGUAAAACGAGGGAGAAAGGGAAGAUGCAGACAAGGAAGAAGGCUGGUGCUGGAAUUGAAAAGAUGUUCAACUCAUCUUUAUUGAAAAAAAGUUAAUUUAAUAAUACCUAUUCGUGUAUAAACUGGCAGAUCUACAUGAAAAAACUUAU